rnacentral:rRNA from 1 species
GCCCUUAGAGUUUGAUCCUGGCUCAGAUUGAACGCUGGCGGCAUGCUUUACACAUGCAAGUCGAACGGCAGCGCGGGGAGCUUGCUCCCUGGCGGCGAGUGGCGCACGGGUGAGUAAUACAUCGGAACGUGUCUUCUAGUGGGGGAUAACUGCCCGAAAGGGCAGCUAAUACCGCAUGAGACCUGAGGGUGAAAGCGGGGGAUCGCAAGACCUCGCGCUGGAAGAGCGGCCGAUGUCCGAUUAGCUAGUUGGUGAGGUAAAGGCUCACCAAGGCGACGAUCGGUAGCUGGUCUGAGAGGACGACCAGCCACACUGGGACUGAGACACGGCCCAGACUCCUACGGGAGGCAGCAGUGGGGAAUUUUGGACAAUGGGGGCAACCCUGAUCCAGCCAUGCCGCGUGCAGGAUGAAGGUCUUCGGAUUGUAAACUGCUUUUGUCAGGGACGAAAAGGGAUGCGAUAACACCGCAUUCCGCUGACGGUACCUGAAGAAUAAGCACCGGCUACUCUG